GACUUCUCGCGAGAGUCCUCCGGCCGGUCUGAGGUACACAAACACAGCUUUUCUUAUUUGUGACCUUUAACUGGUACUUUCGGCUGGAAGGUGGUCAUGAUUGGAAAAGCAAACUAUGAGCACUGGCUGAUGCAAUGAACUGUUGACUGGAAUCUGACAGUCCACAUGGAACUGAAUCCUGAUGAAUAUAAUGCAGUCAUUCCCAAAACUUUGGAAUUACACUCUCCUGAGAAUCUUUUGGAAAGUUUGCAAACUUGCAAUAGAACUGAUUUCUACACUGGAGGAAAAAUAUCCUCUU